rnacentral:rRNA from 1 species
UGUGCCUACGGGACGCAGCAGUGAGGAAUAUUGGUCAAUGGUCGGGAGACUGAACCAGCCAAGCCGCGUGAGGGAUGAAGGUACAGAGUAUCGUAAACCUCUUUUGUCAGGGAACAAAGGCGGGGACGUGUCCCCGGAUGAGUGUACCUGAAGAAAAAGCCCCGGCUAACUACGUGCCAGCAGCCGCGGUAAUACGUAGGGGGCAAGCGUUAUCCGGAUUUACUGGGUGUAAAGGGAGCGUAGACGGAGGAGCAAGUCUGAUGUGAAAAUCCGGGGCCCAACCCCGGAACUGCAUUGGAAACUGU